UACGGGGGGAGCAAGCGUUGUUCGGAUUUACUGGGCGUAAAGGGCGCGUAGGCGGCGUGACAAGUCACUUGUGAAAUCUCCGGGCUUAACUCGGAACGGUCAAGUGAUACUGUCGUGCUAGAGUAACAGAAGGGGCAACUGGAAUUCUCGGUGUAGCGGUGAAAUGCGUAGAUAUCGAGAGGAACACCUGCGGCGAAGGCGGGUUGCUGGGCUGAUACUGACGCUGAGGCACGAAAGCGUGGGGAGCAAACAGG
rnacentral:rRNA from 1 species